GUCGUCCUGGGUCCCUCUCCAUCCCCAUGUCCCCUGCCCCUGGCUUGGGCUCUCGGCGGGGGAAGCAAAGCGGUCGGAGCAGAGCUGGGAGCGGAGUCCCCGGCGCGCAGCCCCCGCUGGCCCCGCCCCCGCGGCCCGUACCUGCCCCACGUCUUCGCUGGUUUCCAGCUGCACGUUGCCGCGGCUCCGGCUCUCGCUGUCGCUCAGCAGGUCGUCCUCCGAGUCCUCGAGCAGCGACGAGGAGCCGGUGGAGGAGAGGGACGAGGUGGAGAGGCGGCGUGGCUGCUGCAGGUGCGACCCCGCAGCUGGGAGCCAGUUCCCCUCCCGGUCCGGCGGCCCGGGGCUGGCCGGGGCCACAUCCUCCUCGCUUGUCACAGUGAGCUGCGGGAUCACCGGAGCAGGGGCAGCACGCGGGAGCCCGUUAGGCACUUGUCCCCCACGCCGCUUGGCCCCGCGGGCCCGGGGCUCCCCUGCGGCCG
rnacentral:lncRNA from 1 species